GAGUAUUUGAAGGCUGAAUCUGUUUCUCUCUUUGCACAAGAUCUAACCAACUACUUCCAAGAGAAAGUUGACCAAAUGUUAAGUAACUUUCCUCUUCCCUUUGGCUUGCCCUCCCUCUUCUCAUCGCAUAUGCCAAUCUGGUAUCCUCCUAAUCCAUUUACAUGCUCCACUGAUCUAAUCCCCCUUCCGAUCUCUGCCAUGGCCAUUAUUUCCCCUACUUCUUUCUCAGUCUUUCUCACUUUCUUUUGCCUCAGAAUAAAAGCAUGUUUUUGUAUUAAGAAGCUGCCCCAGGUAAGAUCCAGCAAUCAGUUCUCUCUUUUCUAAGCACAUCAGAAAAUGUCACAUAGAGUACUCACCACAAAUUUCGUUCCAAAUCUUCAAAACCCUCUGCAGUCUCCUGACUCCACUGAAACCACUCUUAACUGGUGCCUUUAUUCUAACUAAAAGAUAGACCCCAGGCUCCUUCAUCAGUACCUAUUGAUUUUUUAUCCUGUUGAAGUUGCUCUUGAAAUGUUAUCCUUCCUUUACUUCUGUUUUCUUCUCUUUUUGUUCAUUUUGUUCAUGUCUCAAUAAGCAGAAAAAGAAAAGAAUUAUAAUAAGAGGGCAAGGAGUCCUGAUGAAACAUUCUGAGCUUUAUAGUUUACAGAAUAAAUUAAUUGUUAUAUUUGAAAUUAACUGGGAGAAAAGAAAGGGAUUAAAUAACAGUUAAGCAUUCGAAGAGGACAUCAUAAAAACCAUCCAGUUUAGUCCAGUUAAAUAGUUCACCUGGAAUGAGCUAGUUCAGGAGUUAGGGAAGGAAGGCUACCUAUCAUGAAGCUAAGACAAAGCGGAAGCAUCCCUGGAAGAUGAAGUGUACUGCUAAACUUUGCAUACUCACCCUCACUUCUUCCUCUAUCCCUUGGCUUAGUUAGAAGGUAUUUGAUUAGAAAGGUGCACUAACAUGGAACUUGAAGUUAUGAGAUGCAAAAUCUUUACCUUCAUGUGAGCUUCCAAUCAACGAGAGAAUGAUUUAGAGCUGAAGAGCAAUUGAUAAGCCUUGUUUCCCCCAUAGACCUCUUGUUGGACUGAGGACUGAAACUGAAAUGGCCCUUCUAGCAGAGAAGCACGCUAAAAAGAUCCUUCCGAUACAUAAGAUCAGCACCAGUCUUAGGAACAGGCAAAGUAGGCAGUUUUGGCCUGAAUUUGAAACUGUACCGUUACUUCUUGUGACGACAUGAUAAGGUACAAUUUAAAGCUAAACGUUCAAGUGGCAAUAAUGUGUUGGCUCACCUACUAGUCUUUCUGUCAUAAAUGGGAGGAUCUCAUGGCCAUUCAGACAGGGACAGUCACAAGGGUGAAAGGGAUGUAUGCUAAAAAAAAAUCACUUCAGAUACUUACCAGUUGGCAGUGCCAGUAUUCUCAUUGUUUCUUUGAAUCUGCUGCAUUAAUGGAGGAAGCAAAGAAAGCUACCUCUCUUCUCAAAUGGCAAAGUUGAUACAAUGAGCCUUUUUUCUUUUCCUUUGAAAGCUUUAAAAGUCUACUUUGAUGGGACAACAAUGAUUACUUUCUACAUGAUCUAUAGGUCAUAAUUCAAGUGUCAGAGGUUUGCUGCUAAAGACUUGAUCAGGAUUUCUUUGGAAAACGUGGCAGAAACCUCCAGCAGGUUCCCAAAACUUGAAUGUCUCAGCCGAUUAGGCUGGGAUGAGACUCUCUUGUAGAAGCUGUUCUGCUCUGCGUGUGGGCUCAUUGAAUGGCAUCAGAAACCAGCCUGCUAUGGUUUCCUGUGGGCAUGCAAGUGAUAAAACAAGAACUGUUCUGAUACUGUUAUUUUCAUCCUAAUUUAUGCUCUCCGUACCCUCAACAAUUCCUGAAGUUUUCAUUUUGAGAGAGGAAUCUGUACACAGUGGUGGUCAUUGAUAUAUAGAAAAAAUAAACCUUGUUAACUGAUAUAUUACUACUACUAUAUAUAUUAUGCAUAUUUUGCUCUGCAAUCCUUGCAGAAGAUUGUUAAUUAAUAAAUUAUUUUUGGGUGAAAUGCUACUUAAUUUUGAUUGCCAAAAUUAAUGUCUGUCAAAUUUUCCGACUAUUACUAUAUUUCUGUCAUAAAAUGAAAAGGCUGUUCAAUACCUUAAACUGUGUUUGAAAAUUUUGAGAGGAGUGUAUGUCAGUCCAUUUAGUAUAUA